AGCUGUUCCCCUCUGGAGGUUUUACCUUCACACCUAACAGGGCCCCGUUUUGGAGGCCCUUUUUUUUGCCUUGC
rnacentral:sRNA from 1 species